UACGUAGGGGGCUAGCGUUGUCCGGAAUCAUUGGGCGUAAAGAGCGCGUAGGCGGCUGGAAUAGUCCGGUGUGAAAUCCACAGGCUUAACCUGUGAAUGCCGCUGGAAACUGUCUGGCUAGAGUGCGGUAGGGGAGACUGGAAUUCCUGGUGUAGCGGUGAAAUGCGCAGAUAUCAGGAGGAACACCGGUGGCGAAGGCGGGUCUCUGGGCCGUAACUGACGCUGAGGAGCGAAAGCAUGGGGAGCGAACAGG
rnacentral:rRNA from 1 species